CUUAAACGCUACAUUAUACAUUGACUCGCUGAUGACACCAUCAGGGCUCAGGUAGAGGCAUUUUCAAUCCGCUCCAAAUCUCUCCCCCCUUCUAGGAUGCUUCCAAGACCCCAUCAAGCGGGCACAGGCAGGGAGAGACGUUGCUAGGGAAAAGGGAUCAUUGCCAAGUUCUGGCCCACAGCAGCAUAUGCUUCACGGUGACAAUGUAAUCCCCAUGCGCCAAGCCAAGAGAUCUUGUGUGGUGACCUGGGUGUUUCUCCACGGCUCUUUGUGAGACAACAGCCAUCAAGGCUUGGAGUCUUUGACAUGUUGGAAGUCCCAGAUUUCUGUAACACAGUGGGAUCAAAGCCUUGAAGCUCUUCUGCGUACGUCACCAUCAUGAGCCAAGGAGAGACCUUGGAAAAAGACAACAGAUAGCUCCCUUUCACACGCACCAUGUUAGCACAGUACUUGGUGUCCACACGCCAUGAUCAUAAGGCCAGAAUCAUCUCGAAGAUUGAAGAUGGCAAAUUCUUUGACACACUGCCCAUCCAGAGGCGAAGUCUACGUCCCAUCCCCUUGAAUCUGAGUGGGCUCUAUUUCCACUCUGAAAGAAUAUGGCAGAAGUGACACUGUGCCGCUUCCCAAAGCCAGGCCUUAUGAAGCUGGCAGUGCCCAUCCUCUGUCAUUCGGAACACUGUCUCUGGGAGCAUCGGACUUCAAACCCUCAAGCCACCAUGCUGAUGCAGCCCGAUGUAGGUGCUCCAGCUCAGAGUUCCACCUGAGCCCAGCCUUCGAGGCAUCUCUCCAGCCAAGGCCCCGUACGUUGGGUGAAACCAUCUUCUACCCUCCAGGUCAACUCAUCGCUGGUUGAAUCCCACAAGUGACCUUACUCCACACGAUGCCAUAUGGAGCAGAAGAAUCACUCAGCUGAGCCCUGCCCGAGUUCCUAACCCACAAAAUUAUAAAUUAGAAUAAAAUGGUUGUUAUUUUAA